rnacentral:rRNA from 1 species
UACGUAGGCAGCGAGCGUUGUUCGGAAUUACUGGGCGUAAAGAGUGUGUAGGCGGUGCUCUAAGUUCGGUGUGAAAUCUCCCGGCUUAACUGGGAGGGUGCGGCGGAAACUGGAGUGCUUGAGGGUGGGAGAGGUAAGCGGAAUUCCUGGUGUAGCGGUGAAAUGCGUAGAUAUCAGGAGGAACACCUGUGGUGUAGACAGCUUACUGGACCACUUCUGACGCUGAGGCACGAAAGCGUGGGUAGCAAACAGG